GAAGGCCACAUCUCUCUCUACUUGGAAAUCUCAGAGACAGAGUCCCUACCCUCAGGUUGGGAGGUCCAUGCCUUGCUCAGGUUCUUUGUCCUUGACCAACGUAGGGACAAAUACUUGACACUCCAAGAUGCCAAAGGAAGAGCAAGAAGAUUCCGUG